ACGAACGCUGGCGGCAUGGUUUAGGCAUGCAAGUCGAACGCGAAGCCCCGCACCUAAAUUACACUCUAUGGAUGUUAUUUAAUUAUCCUAGGUACAGUGGUGUGAUUUAGGUGCGGGGUGGAAAGUGGCGAAAGGGUGAGUAACGCGUGAGUAACCUGCCCUCAAGUUUGGGAUAAUUCUUCGAAAGGGGGACUAAUACCGGAUGUGUCCAGCUAUUUGCAUAUAUAGUUGGGUAAAGAUUUAUUGCUUGAGGAUGGGCUCGCGUCCCAUUAGCUUGUUGGUAGGGUAACGGCCUACCGAGGCUAUGACGGGUAGGUGGUCUGAGAGGAUGGUCACCCACACUGGGACUGAGACACUGCCCAGACUCCUACGGGAGGCUGCAGUCGAGAAUCUUCCGCAAUGGGCGCAAGCCUGACGGAGCAAUGCCGCGUGCAGGAUGAAGGCCCUUGGGUCGUAAACUGCUGUCACUGGGGAUGAACAAAUGACAGUACCCGGAGAGGAAGCCACGGCUAACUACGUGCCAGCAGCCGCGGUAAUACGUAGGUGGCGAGCGUUGUUCGGAUUUAUUGGGCGUAAAGGGUUCGUAGGGGGUUUGCUAAGUUUGGUGUGAAAUUUCGGGGCUUAACCCCGAAGCUGCACUGAAGACUGGCAGACUAGAGCAUCGUAGAGGAGAGUGGAAUUCCUGGAGUAGCGGUGGAAUGCGUAGAUAUCAGGAAGAACACCGAGAGCGAAGGCAGCUCUCUGGGCGAUAGCUGACCCUGAGGGACGAAAGCGUGGGUAGCGAACAGGAUUAGAUACCCUGGUAGUCCACGCCGUAAACGUUGUGCACUUGGUCUUUGUGGCUUCAACCCCAUGAGGAUCGUAGCUAACGCGUUAAGUGCACCGCCUGGGGACUACGGCCGCAAGGCUAAAACUCAAAGGAAUUGACGGGGACCCGCACAAGCGGUGGAGCAUGUGGCUUAAUUCGAGGCAACGCGAAGAACCUUACCUGGGCUUGACAUAUAUUUGCAAUCUGGUGAAAGUCAGAGUUCCUUUUGGACGGAUAUACAGGUGCUGCAUGGCUGUCGUCAGCUCGUGUCGUGAGAUGUUCGGUUAAGUCCGGCAACGAGCGCAACCCGUGUUGUUAGUUACCAUCAGGUAAUGCUGGGGACUCUAACAAGACUGCCCGUGUUAAGCGGGAGGAAGGCGCGGACGACGUCAAGUCAGUAUGGCCCUUAUGCCCAGGGCUGCACACGUGCUACAAUGGUCGGUACAAUGGGCAGCGAAACUGCGAAGUGGAGCAAAUCCUUAAAACCGGCCUCAGUUCGGAUUGUAGUCUGCAACUCGACUACAUGAAGUUGGAAUCGCUAGUAAAGGCGUAUCAGCAACGGCGCCUUGAAUACGUUCCCGGGUCUUGUACUCACCGCCCGUCAAG
rnacentral:rRNA from 1 species